AACGAACGCUGGCGGCAGGCUUAACACAUGCAAGUCGAGCGCCCCGCAAGGGGAGCGGCAGACGGGUGAGUAACGCGUGGGAAUCUACCCAUCCCUACGGAACAACUCCGGGAAACUGGAGCUAAUACCGUAUACGUCCUUCGGGAGAAAGAUUUAUCGGGGAUGGAUGAGCCCGCGUUGGAUUAGCUAGUUGGUGGGGUAAUGGCCUACCAAGGCGACGAUCCAUAGCUGGUCUGAGAGGAUGAUCAGCCACACUGGGACUGAGACACGGCCCAGACUCCUACGGGAGGCAGCAGUGGGGAAUAUUGGACAAUGGGCGCAAGCCUGAUCCAGCCAUGCCGCGUGAGUGAUGAAGGCCCUAGGGUUGUAAAGCUCUUUCACCGGUGAAGAUAAUGACGGUAACCGGAGAAGAAGCCCCGGCUAACUUCGUGCCAGCAGCCGCCGCAGUAA
rnacentral:rRNA from 1 species